rnacentral:rRNA from 1 species
GAAGGGCCCGAGCGUUGCGCGGAAUCAUUGGGCUUAAAGCGUACGUAGGCGGACGCGCAGGCGUCUUGUGAGAUCCCUCGGGCUCAACCGAGGAAUUGCUCGACGAACCGCGCGUCUUGAGGCGAGUAGGGGCUGUCGGAACGAUAGGUGGAGUGGUGAAAUGCGUUGAUAUCUAUCGGAACGCCAAAGGAGAAAUCAGACAGCUGGGCUUGUCCUGACGCUGAGGUACGAAAGCGUGGGGAGCGAACGGGAUUAGAUACCCCGGUAGUCCACGCCGUAAACGAUGUGCACUAGAUCGAGGGGGUUUUGACGCCGCUCUCGGUCGAAGCGAAAGUGUUAAGUGCACCGCCUGGGGAGUACGGUCGCAAGGCUA